GGUUACUGAAACAGCCCCCUCAACAGUGGGAAAACAACCAUCAACAAUGACCAGUCCAAAAGCUAGUUCAGAAUCUGAGAGGCCCACAGUGGAGACAGAAUGUACCACUGAACAAGAGAGUCCCACCCCAGAAAGUGACACAACCACUCCAGAAUGGGAAACUGCUUAUAUUAUAGUUGAUGUGGAAGAGCCCACGGAAGGAGUCAAACCUCCAGAGUACCUUGAAACAGGGUUUACAGAAAUGGUCAGUUCAGAAUCUGAGAUGCCGCCCACAACAGAGGCUGAAUAUACAGAGGGAACUACGACUUCACCAACAACCAAAGAGAAAGAGACCACAGAGGCACCUUUGACAACAAAGAUAACUGAGUGCACAGAGAACACAGUGCCAAUUUUGCCUUUUACACCAGAACCAAACUCACCACAGUCUACUGGGAUCAUCAAGACUACAAGUAUACCUGAUACAACAUUUCCUGAGAGUCUUGGUACAGAAUGUGCUCCCGCAACUACAACAAACAAGAAAGAAACUCCCUCCAAGCCCACAGUAUCCCAGACUCUAGGAAAGUCAACUCCAGAGACAUUGCCUCCUUCAGAAAGCGCCACAACAACGCAUCUACCAGAACUCAUAACCAAUGUUCUGGCAACAGAACACCCACAGGAGACAGAAGGUGCAUCAACUAUGGGGCCAACUUCUGAAGAUCCAAGCAUAUGCACCUGCUAUGGACUCAUCCACCGCUCUCCUGCUCCUGCUGCCUUAAAAAGAUGUUUGGAGAAAACAGUAGAAUUACUGAAGUUUCUCCAAAACACUGCAAGGUCCCACCUUACAUCAACUACCAGCCGUAACCAGCCAAGCACACAGACAACCUUCAGAUCCCAAGAUGAUUCCAGAAAAACAGGUCAUCACAGCAAGCUUAAAGAUGAUGGAAAUGAACAUUUUUACUAUAUUGAUGGCAAACUCAAAGAAAAAAAUAAUCACUCUGGACCUGAAGUUGAUAAAAUAUAAGUCUUUUCAAAGCUUGCACGGUAAUAGCCAACCCUUAAAUAUAUAAUAAAGGACCAUAUAUACAGCUCUGGAGAAUUUAAGAGACCACUUCAGAUUCUGAAUCAGUUUCUCUGAUUUUAUAUUUAUAGGUAUAAGUUUGAGUAAAAUGAACCAUAUUGUUUUUAUUCUAUA
rnacentral:lncRNA from 1 species